CAGCGCGGGGCAACCUGGCGGCGAGUGGCGAACGGGUGAGUAAUAUAUCGGAACGUACCCAAGAGUGGGGGAUAACGUAGCGAAAGUUACGCUAAUACCGCAUACGAUCUAUGGAUGAAAGUGGGGGAUCGCAAGACCUCAUGCUCCUGGAGCGGCCGAUAUCUGAUUAGCUAGUUGGUGAGGUAAAGGCUCACCAAGGCGACGAUCAGUAGCUGGUCUGAGAGGACGACCAGCCACACUGGAACUGAGACACGGUCCAGACUCCUACGGGAGGCAGCAGUGGGGAAUUUUGGACAAUGGGCGCAAGCCUGAUCCAGCAAUGCCGCGUGAGUGAAGAAGGCCUUCGGGUUGUAAAGCUCUUUUGUCAGGGAAGAAACGGCUGGGGCUAAUAUCCCCGGCUAAUGACGGUACCUGAAGAAUAAGCACCGGCUAACUACGUGCCAGCAGCCGCGGUAAUACGUAGGGUGCAAGCGUUAAUCGGAAUUACUGGGCGUAAAGCGUGCGCAGGCGGUUUUGUAAGUCUGACGUGAAAGCCCCGGGCUCAACCUGGGAAUUGCGUUGGAGACUGCAAGGCUUGAAUCUGGCAGAGGGGGGUAGAAUUCCACGUGUAGCAGUGAAAUGCGUAGAGAUGUGGAGGAACACCGAUGGCGAAGGCAGCCCCCUGGGUCAAGAUUGACGCUCAUGCACGAAAGCGUGGGGAGCAAACAGGAUUAGAUACCCUGGUAGUCCACGCCCUAAACGAUGUCUACUAGUUGUCGGGUCUUAAUUGACUUGGUAACGCAGCUAACGCGUGAAGUAGACCGCCUGGGGAGUACGGUCGC
rnacentral:rRNA from 1 species